GGGGAAUUUUCCGCAAUGGGCGAAGCCUGACGGAGCAAUACCGCGUGAGGGAGGAAGGCUUUUGGGUUGUAAACCUCUUUUCUUAAGGAAGAAGAUCUGACGGUACUUAAGGAAUCAGCAUCGGCUAACUCCGUGCCAGCAGCCGCGGUAAUACGGAGGAUGCAAGCGUUAUCCGGAAUUAUUGGGCGUAAAGCGUCCGCAGGUGGCCUUUCAAGUCUGCUGUCAAAGACCAGAGCUCAACUCUGGGCCGGCGGUGGAAACUGGGAGGCUAGAGUACGGUAGGGGUAGAGGGAAUUCCCAGUGUAGCGGUGAAAUGCGUAGAGAUUGGGAAGAACACCAGUGGCGAAGGCGCUCUACUGGACCGAAACUGACACUCAGGGACGAAAGCUAGGGGAGCGAAAGGGAUUAGAUACCCCUGUAGUC
rnacentral:rRNA from 1 species